UCUUUAUUCUUUUACUCUCUUUGUUUACACCAACAGUCCCCUCUCUCUCUCUCUCUCUCUUUCUCUCUCAAACAAAUGGUGGUCUCUCUCUCUUCUCUCGUUGAUCUGAAUAAUCUAUGAAGAAAAUAAAAGGAAAGGGUGAUCGGAGAACCGACCUCCACACCCUCGCCGCCACUCCUUUGCCGACCAUCGUGAACUACCCACCCCCUUUCAUGAACCUUGCCACCGCAAGUCCAACCCCCUUUUCCGCUGCUACAGAUCGCAAGUCACCGCGCCAGAGAGAGAAGCAAGAAUGGUGGCCAUUGGUGGACAACCGGAUGGAUGACCGGCCAAACAAUAGGGUGGACAACCGGAUUGGACAAAUUUUGAAGAAAAUUUACAUUAAGUUGGACGACCACCCAGACAUCCUCCCAGUCAACCGAUUAUUUGAUGAAAAUUAAAAUUUUAGCGUUGAACAGUUGUAUUCGUUUCAAUGAUCAAAAUCAUUUAUUUUGUAAGAUCUUUCAUAUAUAUCAUCUAUAAAAAAAAAAAAAAAA